rnacentral:tRNA from 1 species
GGUCCUAUAGUGUAGCGGUUAGCACUCUGGACUUUGAAUUUAGCGACUCGGGUUCGAAUCCCGAUAGGACCU